GUGGGGAAUAUUGCACAAUGGGGGAAACCCUGAUGCAGCGACGCCGCGUGAGUGAAGAAGUAUUUCGGUACGUAAAGCUCUAUCAGCAAGGAAGAAAAUGACGGUACCUGACUAAGAAGCCCCGGCUAACUACGUGCCAGCAGCCGCGGUAAUACGUAGGGGGCAAGCGUUAUCCGGAUUUACUGGGUGUAAAGGGAGCGUAGACGGAAUGGCAAGUCUGAAGUGAAAUCCUGCGGCUUAACUGCAGAAUUGCUUUGGAAACUGUCAAUCUGGAGUGUUGGAGAGGUAAGCGGAAUUCCUGGUGUAGCGGUGAAAUGCGUAGAUAUCAGGAAGAACACCGGAGGCGAAGGCGGCUUACUGGACAAUAACUGACGUUGAGGCUCGAAAGCGUGGGAAGCAAACAGGAUUAGAAACCCCUGUAGUCC
rnacentral:rRNA from 1 species